CAAUGGCUCCCAUAUUACGCAUUCAGUUAUAAUACCUCUCCACACUCAAGCCAUCAAUUUACUCCGUUUGAAUUAGUUUUCGGUCACCAACCAAAUUACCCUUCUUCUGACUUCAGUUCGGGCGAUCGUUGCGUUAAGAAGUGUUCACGUCGGUCCGUCUUUCGGUUUAAUUUAUCGCUGCAAAGUGAAUGUGAAUAGCUAAAAUUUAUAAAAUUACACAUCCCCGGUGUGCUGUUGUUGUGCAAAUUAUACAAACUGACGAAACAAGUGGAUUUCUUUCAUGAAAAAGCGAAAAUUAAUUUCCGAUUGCAUUUGGAGAUGAAAGGUGAAGUUGUUGGUCUAAUUGGAAAUAUCGCUGUCUUUUCGUGUUUACGUCUUGCAGCAGCGGAAGCCGACGAAGCAACGGGAUAAAGCAAAAAGAAAAACGUAGUGAAAAAAAUACAAGUUUUUAGUUUUCUGCUUUCGCACCGCCGAGUCAAUGCACUUGUAUGGGAAAAAUGAUAUCUACAUCAAAGACGUUCAAUCGGGGUGCUAGCUUGCUGUAAAAGUUUUCUACUCGGUAAUGAGUGCUGAAUGAAGAGAUAGAAAAGAGGAAGGCGAAAAAAUCGGUGCGUUCUUGCCUUUUUUCUUUAUCAUCGGAGAAGUUA